GAGGCCAGUUGUCAGCAACGAGUUCCUGUCUGGUGCAGAAGCAGUGCGUAUAUGGAAUCGACUGCGGACGAGCUCUGUUCAUCGUCCUGACGUACCUGCCGUACCCCCGCUUCCGGGGAACCUGGUUCGGGGACGCAACGAGUGCGAGCCAUAAGAAAAAGCUGGGGCGGCGGCACACACACACACACGCCCUUUGAGAACUACUCCGACGCCAACAUGACGCCAGCCGCUGAGGCCCGUCUGAUCCCACACUUGAUUGUCUUGUCGCCGAACUUGCGACGUUCUGGAGAUGAGCGUUUGAUAGAUGGAGGUACGCUUCAUCAGCGGGACGGGAGCCCAGAACAACCCUUUCUUUUCAAGGGGCCUGGUUGCUUCCUAUGGCAACGCUGUACGUACGCAAGCUGAAUAGCGUCUGGAAUGGAUAUUGUUCGCAGUUCCGUUAAAGCUCGCUCCAGUGCCUGGACUGUACUUAUCCAACGCGCUUUGCAGCCACCGCUAAGAGGAUAUCGUGAAAGAACGAGCUGCGAAACCGAGCGCUGGUUUGCUGGGCCUGUAGCCGGCGAUCGACUCGUCCAUUACCCGCUUCCGUCGCUCGCUCAUGCUCAUGGCAUGCCAGCUGCUAGCGUCCUCCUGGAAUGCCGAUUGGACUCGGGCCCAGAACCACGUGCGGUCUAGAAGACGACAACCUGCACAACCACAAGUCCAGGUCCGUUCGCUCCGAUUAGUAUCCCGAAGCAACUGAACUGGACAUCAUUUCAUUGUCUUUGCGCUAUAUGCAGGAUGCAUAUUGCUGGGAUGCAUGCGCUUCGCUCCUGGGAUCACACGAGAGGUAAAGAGGCGUUGUGGAGAAUUCACCCUGCAUCGUCCUAAUUGUACAUUCAUGUCUAGGUACUCAGACACGCACGCAUCUGAGCGCUACGUGUCCGGGGGGCGCUCAGGGCAGGCGAGCCCGAUAUGCGUGUCGCGGACACGUGUCCGAGCCUAUCAUAAAAAGACGAAUAGGAUAAAGAUGCCCGCCCCAUAAGAGGUAGUACACCCGUGCUCGAUCUGAGGCCCAGCCGCCGAACCGGGAUGGCGCUCUGUUCUUCGCACAGAGCAUCGAUUGAAAACGGGUUUGAGUCUUGCGAGCAAGCAGCGACGCAUCGCGUGGAACGUUUCUCCAGAUCCUUGGGGCGGGUCCGCACAUUUACGGCCCAAACGUUUCGCGUGAACUUCAACAAGCAGCGAGCGGGGUCGUUUGGAGCAUAUACCCAUGGUGCCUCGGCUGUAUGGAAACCUGAGCAAGUCGCCAGCGACCUGUUAGCGAGAAUACGAGAGUCGCGCAGCUCGUCGCUUUGCUGGUGACUUGCUGCGGAUGCAUGAAAUCGAGCGAGCCGCACACGCUGCUGUUCUGAAAGUGCAGCGUGCUUCGCGCGUUGCCAGUGCAUCGACGUUCAGCACGUGUUCCGUAUCCGUGUGCGCAGACUCGGCCGUCGAGCUUGUUCUUCAUUAAAUACAAGAGAACGUUUUGGGGUCGCAGACGCCAAAAAAACGCCGAGCAUUUAAAAACACA
rnacentral:misc_RNA from 1 species